rnacentral:tRNA from 1 species
GGUCCCGUAGCUCAGCCGGAUAGAGCACCGGUUUCCUAAACCGGGGGUCGCAGGUUCAGUCCUGCCGGGAUCGCCA